UACGGAGGGUGCAAGCGUUGUUCGGAAUUACUGGGCGUAAAGCGCACGUAGGCGGCUUUGUAAGUUAGAGGUGAAAGCCUGGAGCUCAACUCCAGAAUUGCCUUUAAGACUGCAUCGCUUGAAUCCAGGAGAGGUGAGUGGAAUUCCGAGUGUAGAGGUGAAAUUCGUAGAUAUUCGGAAGAACACCAGUGGCGAAGGCGGCUCACUGGACUGGUAUUGACGCUGAGACGCGAAAGCGUGGGGAGCAAACAGG
rnacentral:rRNA from 1 species